AAUUCUUCUAUGACUUCAAAGUUCUUCUAUGAUAAUAAGAGCAUUGGAGCACAAAUACCAAAAUAUGAAAUCAUGCAAUUUUUGAUACAUCUUAGAGCUCUUUUAAAGACUUUCUUUUAUUUCUUUAGAAAGUAAGCACAAUUUGAUACAUAAAAAUAUGAAUUGGCACACAAUUUAAGUUCUAAAGAUCAAGUCAAUCAGGACUAAUUAGUGAAUAUCAAAAUAGAUUUUCCAAAAGAUACUCAAGAAAAUUUUACACGUUAUUCUCCCCCUUUUUCAUUAAGAUUUUCAGAUUUAAGUUUUAGAUGAUACAUAUUGGAGAGUAUUGGGAUUACUUUUCAUUUAGUAUUCUUUCUCUCCUUUAGUUAUAGAUUUAUGCAAUUAAGUUCCAUAAGACCUCUCCUUCUGAAAUUUUCUUCCUCCCCCUCAA
rnacentral:lncRNA from 1 species